UAAGGAAUAUUGGUCAAUGGACGCAAGUCUGAACCAGCCGUGCCGCGUGGAGGAUGAAGGUCCUCUGGAUUGUAAACUUCUUUUAUCUGGGACGAAACACUUCUUUUCUAAGAGGCCUGACGGUACCAGAUGAAUAAGCGCCGGCUAACUCCGUGCCAGCAGCCGCGGUAAUACGGAGGGUGCAAGCGUUAUCCGGAUUCACUGGGUUUAAAGGGUGCGUAGGUGGGUAUGUAAGUCAGUGGUGAAAUCCCCGAGCUUAACUUGGGAACUGCCAUUGAUACUAUAUAUCUUGAAUACCGUAGAGGUAAGCGGAAUAUGUCAUGUAGCGGUGAAAUGCUUAGAUAUGACAUGGAACACCAAUUGCGAAGGCAGCUUACUAUGCGGUGAUUGACACUGAGGCACGAAAGCGUGGGUAGCAAACA
rnacentral:rRNA from 1 species